AGCUUUCUAUAGGUCCUGCCAGCUCUGGCAUUUGGCAGUAGGAUGUGUUAGCCCACAUCUCUAGUGACCUUGGGCAAGUCCCUGCUCAUCUUGGAGGUUCUGAUCCUCACUGCACCUGACUUGGGAGCAGCAUCCACAGGACUCUUUGUGAAGGACAGAGCCAGCUGCUUCCACCUCCCUCUGCUCCACCUCUGCAUGAAUGCAGUAAAAAUAACCAGCAUAAGAUGUCUCAUAAGCUGUUCCCACUCAUAGUUUCCAUUCAAACGGGCGCAAACCGUGCCCAAGGCAAGUGUCAGAUGCCCAGUGCAGCGAAGUCUAAUUAUUAAAGCUCCAUCCC
rnacentral:lncRNA from 1 species